rnacentral:rRNA from 1 species
AGAGCGAACGCUGGCGGCAGGCCUAAUACAUGCAAGUCGAGCGCACCUUCGGGUGAGCGGCGGACGGGUGAGUAACGCGUGGGAAUAUGCCCUUUGGUACGGAACAACUGAGGGAAACUUCAGCUAAUACCGUAUGUGCCCUUCGGGGGAAAGAUUUAUCGCCAUUGGAGUAGCCCGCGUUGGAUUAGGUAGUUGGUGAGGUAAAGGCUCACCAAGCCUACGAUCCAUAGCUGGUCUGAGAGGAUGAUCAGCCACACUGGGACUGAGACACGGCCCAGACUCCUACGGGAGGCAGCAGUGGGGAAUAUUGGACAAUGGGCGCAAGCCUGAUCCAGCAAUGCCGCGUGGGUGAAGAAGGUCUUCGGAUUGUAAAGCCCUUUCGGCGGGGACGAUGAUGACGGUACCCGCAGAAGAACGCCCCGGCUAACUUCGUGCCAGCAGCCGC